ACCAUAUGAUCCAGCAAUCUCACUCCUGGACAUAUAUCUGGAGGGAACUCUAAUUCAAAAAGAUACAUGCACCCAAAUGUUCACAGCAGCGCUGUUUACAACAGCGAAGACGUGGAAGCAACUUAAACGUCCAUCGACAAAUGACUGGAUAAAGAAGCUGUGGUAUAUUUAUACCAUAGAAUACUACUCAGCCAUAAAAA